GUUAACCACAGGCUGUACAGGAAUAAUGGGCGUGGCUUUCAGGGUUAAACACACUUAAACCUACAUGUUUUUUUCUAAUGAGUCGUCUGUGGUUAACAGCUGUGACCUUUGACCUUGUUAAACACUUUCCUGAUGAGCUGUGCUCUAAACAUUUAGUUUUUAUUUAAAGUUCACUUCUUAGCUUUGAUGGUUCCACUUAAAGUUGGGGAUAAAGAUAUGCUUGUUUUAUAUACACACCUCGAGGUCAAAGGUCAUUAUUGGAGUUUUUUGUCAGUUUAAGAUGAACUGUAAUAUGUCAGCAAAUGAAACCCAAACCUUUCUACAGUUUGUCACAGCACGCUUUGAUCAAACUGUAACACAUGCAUACAUGUGUUGGACACAUGACUGUACCCCACUACAUCUGCAUUUAAAGGGCACACAUAUGUAUACAGUAUAUGUCCUGUGAUACACUGUACACACACGUGCUUCCUGCAAACCACAUGUGCAUCAUCCCACGUAGGACUGAAAGAGAAGGAUGUUGUCAUCACUUCCCGCAGCCCAGAGGCCGCUGCACCAGUGGAGACCGCUCAUCCUGCAGCCACACCUGAAGCUGCUGUGGAGCCUGACCCUGUUCCUGUGGAAGAUGUGAUUGAAGCUGCUGUGGCAGAGGACACAGCUGCAGCCUCACCACCAGAGCCUGAAGCUGAGGCGGCAUCAGAAUCAGCACCUGUGGCUCCUCCUGAGGCCGAUGAGGUGAUUGAGGAGGAGCCAGAGGUGCUGGAGGAGGAGCCUGCUGCAGAAGAGGAGGAUGCUCCUGUUGAGGAAGAGGAGGUUGCUCCAGCUGAAGAAGAGCCAGCUGCAGAGGAGAUGAUGGGAGAUCAACCUGCAGAGGAGGAGGAGGAGGAAACAGAAACAGAGGCUGCGGAGGAGACCACAGAGGAGGCUACAGAGGAGACCGUGGAGGAGGACACGGAGGAGACCGCGGAGGAGGACACGGAGGAGACCGCGGAGGAGGACACAGAGGAGACCGCGGAGGAGGCCACAGAGGAGACCACGGAGGAGGACACGGAGGAGACCGCGGAGGAGGACACGGAGGAGGCUACAGAGGAGACCGUGGAGGAGGCUGUGGAAGAGGCCGAGGAUGAAGCUGCAGCAGAGGUGGAAGAGUCUUUCGCUGGUUCAGUGGAGGACACAGAUGAGGAGGUGGCUCAGGAGACGGCUCCUACAGAGGAAGCUGUUGUGGAGCCACCUGAACAAGAGGAGGCUGCUCCAUCAGAGGAACCUGCUGAGGAGGAAGAAGCUGCAGAAGAAUCUGAGGCUGCAGCAGAAGAAAUGGGGGCAGCACAUGCAGAAGAAGCUGCUGAGGAAACUCCUGUAGAGGAGCAGGAAGCUCCUUUAGAAGAACCUGUUGAGGAGCAAGCUGAAGUAGAGGAAGCUCCUACAGAAGAGGCACCAGAGGAGACGGCCGAGGAAGAAAUAACUGAGGAGGAGACAGUACCAGUGACAAACACAGAAGAAGAAGCAGCACAUGGUGGUGCAGCAAGGGAUCCUGAGAUGGAGGAACUGUGGAAAGACGAGCCUACAGAAACGUAGGCCACGGAGGUCACCGCUGUGAUGGAGCAGGGACCCACUGACAUUGCAUCAGCACCAUCUGAGCUCAGAUGAUGAUGCCCCUCUCCAGAGAAAUGAUUGAGUUGUCAUGGCAACAAUCGCCCCUCUCCCCCCAUUUUCAUCCCUCCCUUUAAAUUUCCCUUUUAGUGUCAAAGUGUGAGAUGUUCACUAAUAUGCUUCCUUUGCCCUUGUUGUGUUUCCUUUCAGGUUUUGGCUCAUUCUUUUGUUUUCCUGUUUCCUUCAGGGUGUUUUAGCUUCAGUGUGUUUGGGGCACAUGUCCACUCCCUGUGACGUACGAGUGUGUGGUGCACUCGCACAGUCUUGUACCUCUCAGCAAAAAGAGGUCCAAAUCUUCGCUGGAGCUGCACGCUAGCUGCACAUUAAGAAGCUUCACACUUUAAAGUGUUGGAGCAACCAAAUCAAAUCCCCACUCAGAGCAGAAGCUGCUGCUCAGUGUAGAGAGGACUCUAUGCAAAGGUGUGACGCGUGUCACCCACCUCCUUCCUCCUCCUCCUUAGCAUCAGGUGAAUUUACCACUCAGUGUCGACUCCAGGAUGAGCCAUACACUAGCACAUGAACUGUGUGUGUUUGUGAGUAAUGCGUUGUUAUGUGCUGAGAGAUCUUUGCUAAUCCUUCUUGUUGUGUGAGCUGUAGUUUAGUUUCAUUUUGUUAUCUCACUACAUCAGACUGUAUCCUGUAGACUCCGAGCUGGAUCUUCUGUUUGCACAACUGAACUGAAGUUGUGACCUCAGCUUGUUGAACUGUGAGGGCAGCACGGACAGUGACACCCCCCCCCCCCACUUCACGUUUAACAGUGGCUCAUUCCUGUGGAAAUCCAGCCUCUCUGUAGAGGCUUAACGCCACCCUGUCACACACAAACAAUAAUGUCAAAUAAGAGCACUACUAUCUUAUUUUGAAGGCCAGAUGUAGAGCCAAACAUCGUUUCUGUUUGUCCUGUAAACAUAAAUCACCUUGCUUCACUCAAGGAUCAUGAUACAUGAUGACUGGCAGUGAAAAUGCUGUAGGAAUCAGUAAACACUACGUGUGGUCCUCACUUACUGUAACUGUUUGUUAGGGAUGCAACCUCGCUGUGUGAAUAUGUCUGAUUUUUCUUUCUCCUGUAACACUAGCUGAUGUUUUCUGUUUGCUGAAACUUUGUGAGUCAAUGUGAACCGAACCUUUUUAACAUUGAAAAGUAGAAUCUUUACUGAGAGACAACUUCUAGAUUUUUUAAUAGAUUUUUUAAAAAGAAUUUGGAGAGAUGAGAAGAAUUCUUAUUUCCAGAAGAUGCUUGCGGUGCUUUGUACUAAGCCAUAAGCUGUUUGUUGACUUUGUCCUGUGAAGCACAAACAAGAGAAACACUGUUGAGUUUUCAGUACUCGGCUUUGAUCACAGGUCACGUUCAUGUCUCAGAGGGUUGUGGCGCACAGGCAGCUCUGUUUCUAAACAGAGGCCACUUCUGAUGAACACGAUGCAACAAUGUAUCAGUGAUGACAGAGGGAGGGGGGGCGUGGCCAUCUUCAUCAAUGACAUGCUGUCUUUGAGUCAUAACCCUCAGAUUAUGGUUGAGUGUGCAGGUGUGACACUGUGCUGACUAAAUGAUCAUGAAGUACUGACAGAGAUUUGAAGUGGGAAGUUUUUCUGUUCUGGGAGCUAUAAUAAAAGAUUUGGGACAACACA
ensembl:lncRNA